rnacentral:lncRNA from 1 species
CAGGACCUGCUGGGAGCUCCUGUGGGCCUCAUGUCCUGUUGACGCCCGUGUUCUAAUGUAAGCCCUGUCACGGGGCACACUCCAGGUGGGAAGCGCUGAGACUCGGCUGGUGGAAGCAUCGGACGCAUCUCAUCUCCGGGAACCUCCGAGUGCCACUGGCCAGUCUCCCUCCAGCAUCUGCUUCCCGGAGCCAUUAAAGGCUCAUACAUCUUUCAAGCCCAGCAUUACUCAAGGACAAAGGUGACAGCUCGAUUUCUGAAAUCCAGCUGAGGCCAAAGCAGAUCCAAGGUCAGAAAGGCCCACAACCAAAGUUGUCACUAGCUGCUGGGUGGAGUGGCCCCUGCCAGGCCCAGGGGCAAUGGACCAAGCCCUCAGCUCUGGGUGGGUGGAGGAGUCCUGCACCCUCUCCGUUCCUCCCAGUGUAGCUCAAGGUCCCAGAGCUGGGACACAUGCUCCUGUACGCGCUGUGUCUGUCCCAAUCUGUGUGGACCCCGCUGGAGAGUGGAGCUCAUGUUUUCCAUCUUAUACCAAAACACGUUUGCAUAGGGACACAGGUGCACACCUACACGUGUAUACGGGACACAUCCACCCACAAGGAGCCUGCACCUUGGCCCCGAGCACACACAUGAAUAUAUGCACACACAUGAAAAGUCUGCAUGGGCCAACACGUAUGAGUGUGCAUCUACAGGUGAGCACAAGUGUGCACACCCUCCCCAAGAGACCCACCUACCCCAAAGUUGAUCAAGGUCACAGACUGUGCUGGAGGUCAGCAGCCCGGGGAGCUGAGGAGAGCGCUGCAGACAGGUGGGGCUGUGCCUCCUGAAGCCACCCAGCACCCGUCCCCGCCACCCCCUCCCCGCCUUCUCUGCCUCCUCCUGCCUGGGACAAAGCAGGCCCUGCACUGGGCUGCCUGGACCCUCACAGUGCUUGUUCUCUUUGGGAGGCUUUACGGCCCCAAGAUGGCCUCAAGGUGUGCUGUGAGAAUUCUGAUGCCACUUGCUCCAUCACUGACUUUGUAAAACCUCUUCCUAGAGUGAGAACCGGUGCCUCUCAAAUGCCGUCUUGAGGCCCAUAUUCCCAAGAUCCAAAAUCAGAGAUGGUCACAAUUCCCGAAAAUUAGAAUCCUGAAUGUCGAGACCCUGAAAGCCGAAAUCCCAAAACCCACCAUCCAAAGACAGAGGCACCGCGUGGGAAGUGAGCGCGGACACUUCUCUGAGGAGAGCUCUGCCCCAAGAGAAGAAAGGCAGCCCUUCACUGCCCCUCAGGAGCUCAAACCAGCCGAGGACGAGGACGGAGAGACCCGGUAGCCAGGGCCACCUCCGCGCAGGCCCCAGUGCCCCCCGAAGUGCACUUUGUCGGCGUUAUAUGUUUUUAUGAUUCUCUAUGCUACGAAUUUCGUUUUUGCACCAAGCCCAAUACUAGAGGUAGAGGUCGCACAAAGACUCCAGGGGUUCUGACCCACUCGAUGCCUUCUUUGACUCCUCAGAAGUGUAUCAGCACAACCCUUGCUUUGUGCAUAAGCAUUGUGUGUGUGUGUGUGUGUGUGUAAAAAUGUGGAAGCUUGGGCUGGGAAUGUGGCUCAAGUGGUAGCAUGCUUGCCUAGCAUGUGUGAGGCACUGGGUUCGAUUCUCAGUAUCACAUAAAAAUAAAAUAAAAAUAUUGUGUCC